rnacentral:rRNA from 1 species
UACGUAGGGUCCGAGCGUUGUCCGGAAUUAUUGGGCGUAAAGAGCUCGUAGGCGGUUUGUCGCGUCUGUUGUGAAAUCCCGAGGCUCAACCUCGGGUCUGCAGUGGGUACGGGCAGACUGGAGUGCGGUAGGGGAGAAUGGAAUUCCUGGUGUAGCGGUGGAAUGCGCAGAUAUCAGGAGGAACACCGAUGGCGAAGGCAGUUCUCUGGGCCGUAACUGACGCUGAGGAGCGAAAGCGUGGGGAGCGAACAGG